CCUACGGGAGGCAGCAGUAAGGAAUAUUGGUCAAUGGACGCAAGUCUGAACCAGCCAUGCCGCGUGAAGGAUUAAGGCCCUCUGGGUUGUAAACUUCUUUUAUAGGGGACGAAAAAAGGGCAUUCUUGCUCACUUGACGGUACCCUAGGAAUAAGCACCGGCUAACUCCGUGCCAGCAGCCGCGGUAAUACGGAGGGUGCAAGCGUUAUCCGGAUUUACUGGGUUUAAAGGGUGCGUAGGUGGGUUGGUAAGUCAGUGGUGAAAUCUUCGAGCUUAACUCGGAAACUGCCAUUGAUACUAUCAAUCUUGAAUCAUCUAGAGGUAAGCGGAAUAUGUCAUGUAGCGGUGAAAUGCUUAGAUAUGACAUAGAACACCAAUUGCGAAGGCAGCUUACUAUGGAUGUAUUGACACUGAGGCACGAAAGCGUGGGGAUCAAACAGGAUUAGAUACCCUGGUAGUCCACGCCCUAAACGAUGGAUACUCGACAUUUGUGAUAUACUAUAAGUGUCUGAGCGAAAGCAUUAAGUAUCCACCUGGGAAGUAACGACCGCAAGGUUGAAACUUCAAAGAGUUAGUUAGGCGNGNGAGAGCGACGACGACGACGACGGAGGAGGAG
rnacentral:rRNA from 1 species